AGUAACACGUGGGAACAUACCCUUUUCUAUGGAAUAGCCUCGGGAAACUGAGAGUAAUACCAUAUACGGCCUUCGGGCGAAAGAUUUAUCGGUGAAGGAUUGGCCCGCGUUAGAUUAGAUAGUUGGUGGGGUAAUGGCCUACCAAGUCUACGAUCUAUAGCUGGUUUGAGAGGAUGAUCAACAACACUGGGACUGAGACACGGCCCAGACUCCUACGGGAGGCAGCAGUGGGGAAUCUUAGACAAUGGGCGCAAGCCUGAUCUAGCGAUGCCGCGUGAGUGACGAAGGUCUUAGGAUCGUAAAGCUCUUUCGCCAGGGAUGAUAAUGACAGUACCUGGUAAAGAAACCCCGGCUAACUCCGUGCCAGCAGCCGCGGUAAUACGGAGGGGGUUAGCGUUGUUCGGAAUUACUGGGCGUAAAGCGCACGUAGGCGGACUAAUAAGUUAGAGGUGAAAUCCCAGGGCUCAACCCUGGAACUGCCUUUAAUACUGUUAGUCUAGAGUUCGAGAGAGGUAAGUGGAAUUCCGAGUGUAGAGGUGAAAUUCGUAGAUAUUCGGAGGAACACCAGUGGCGAAGGCGGCUUACUGGCUCGAUACUGACGCUGAGGUGCGAAAGUGUGGGGAGCAAGCAGGAUUAGAUACCCUGGUAGUCCACACCGUAAACGAUGAAUGCCAGACGUCGGGGGGCUCGCCCUUCGGUGUCACACCUAACGGAUUAAGCAUUCCGCCUGGGGAGUACGGUCGCAAGAUUAAAACUCAAAGGAAUUGGCGGGGG
rnacentral:rRNA from 1 species